UACGUAGGGACCAAGCGUUGUUCGGAUUUACUGGGCGUAAAGGGCGCGUAGGCGGUCGUGACAAGUCACUUGUGAAAUCUCCGGGCUUAACUCGGAACGGUCAAGUGAUACUGUCGGACUAGAGUACAGAAGGGGCAACUGGAAUUCUCGGUGUAGCGGUGAAAUGCGUAGAUAGUCGAGAGGAACACCUGGCGGCGAAGGCGGGUUGCUGGGCUGA
rnacentral:rRNA from 1 species